AGAGAGAGAGAGAGAGCUCCGAUUAUCGAACCAAUGCCUCCGACUCCGACUCCGACUCCGACUCCGGCAAGGGCCAGUGGUGAUGAGCUGAUGGCAAAGCAGAAGGCAGCAGUGAACAUGAUCAUGACUGCUGCAUUGCUUGUGACUUGCGUGAGCCUCCGUCGAUUCGUGGUUCCACUUUCGAAAGGCAACUUUCUGCUCAGGGAAUUGGCUCUCUUCUGGUUCAUAAGCACAAUCAUGCUCAUUCCUAUCAAUCUCUUCACCUUUGUUGUCUUUGUCUAUCAUUUCCAAGGGGAAAACAUCAGGAGAACCAUUGGUUUCUUCUGUCUCUGGGGAGCUAUAUCCUUUGGUCUUCGGUAUUUAAUUUGAGGGUCUGCAGGGGGUUCCAAUUUUGCUGGUAUCUUGUAGGAAAAGAUGGACCGGGAUAUCAGUUUGAUUAGUUUUAGAAAGAGAAUACCAUGCCCAUCUAUGUUAAUAACUCCAGUACUACAAAGUCAGUAUCUAAGUCAUUACUUAUA